rnacentral:rRNA from 1 species
UACGUAGGGGGCAAGCGUUUGUCCGGAAUCAUUGGGCGUAAAGCGCGUGUAGGCGGCCCGGUAAGUCCGCUGUGAAAGUCCAGGGCUCAACCCUGGGAUGCCGGUGGAUACUGUCGGGCUCGAGUCCGGAAGAGGCGAGUGGAAUUCCUGGUGUAGCGGUGAAAUGCGCAGAUAUCAGGAGGAACACCAAUGGCGAAGGCGGCAUCCUGGACCGGUAUUGACGCUGAGGCGCGAAAGCUAGGGGAGCAAACGGG